rnacentral:rRNA from 1 species
GCGGAUCGAUGGGAGCUUGCUCCCUGAGAUCAGCGGCGGACGGGUGAGUAACACGUGGGUAACCUGCCUGUAAGACUGGGAUAACUCCGGGAAACCGGGGCUAAUACCGGAUAACACCUACCCCCGCAUGGGGGAAGGUUGAAAGGUGGCUUCGGCUAUCACUUACAGAUGGACCCGCGGCGCAUUAGCUAGUUGGUGAGGUAAUGGCUCACCAAGGCGACGAUGCGUAGCCGACCUGAGAGGGUGAUCGGCCACACUGGGACUGAGACACGGCCCAGACUCCUACGGGAGGCAGCAGUAGGGAAUCUUCCGCAAUGGACGAAAGUCUGACGGAGCAACGCCGCGUGAGUGAAGAAGGUUUUCGGAUCGUAAAACUCUGUUGUUAGGGAAGAACAAGUGCCGUUCGAAUAGGGCGGCGCCUUGACGGUACCUAACCAGAAAGCCACGGCUAACUACGUGCCAGCACCCGCCCGUAAUACGUAGGUGGCAAGCGUUGUCCGGAAUUAUUGGGCGUAAAGCGCGCGCAGGUGGUUUCUUAAGUCUGAUGUGAAAGCCCACGGCUCAACCGUGGAGGGUCAUUGGAAACUGGGGAACUUGAGUGCAGAAGAGGAAAGUGGGAAUUCCAAGUGUAGCGGUGAAAUGCGUAGAUAUUUGGAGGAACACCAGUGGCGAAGGCGACUUUCUGGUCUGUAACUGACACUGAGGCGCGAAAGCGUGGGGGAGCAAACAGGAUUAGAUACCCUUGGUAGUCCACGCCGUAACGAUGAGUGCUUAAGUGUUAGAGGGUUUCCGCCCUUUUAGUGCUGGCAGCUUAACGCAUUAAGCAC